rnacentral:rRNA from 1 species
AUUGAACGCUGGCGGCAGGCCUAACACAUGCAAGUCGAACGAGUGGCGGACGGGUGAGUAAUGUCUGGGAAACUGCCUGAUGGAGGGGGAUAACUACUGGAAACGGUAGCUAAUCCCGCAUACCAUCGGAUCUCCCCAGAUGGGAUUAGCUUGUAGGUGGGGUAAAGGCUCACCUAGGCGACGAUCCCUAGCUGGUCUGAGAGGAUGACCAGCCACACGGGAACGGAGAAACGGUCCAGACUCCUACGUGAGGCAGAAGUGGGGAAUAUUGCACAAUGGGCGCAAGCCUGAUACAGCCAUGCCGCGUGUAUGAAGAAGGCCUUCGGGUUGUAAAGUACUUGCAGCGGGGAGGCGUUACCCGAAGAAGAAGCACCGGCUAACUCCGUGCCAGCCGCCGCGGUAAUUG